AGUUUGAAUAAGAUUCCCCAAUUUCCCCUAAUACUCUCUUCUCCUCCACUCUUCUCCCUUCUUCUUCUUCUUCUUCUUCUUCUUCCCCAUCUCUAUUCUCACCUCAGAUCUAUACUUGCUCCUCUAUCUCUUCUAUCUGAUACCGAAGGAUUUGGAUUUAGUCAAAUUCUGAAUCCCAUCAUCUCCUCUUCUUCGAUCCUCUGUGCGCAACGUCAUCGGAUCACAGAAUCGGAUCAGGUAAGCGACACAUCAUUCCAUUUCGCCUUCCUACGAUUAGCAUCGGGUUGCGAAAGGGUCAGGUUCGUAACAGUUUUGGUAUCAGAGCGGUCUCGAUCCCAGGGAUCGGUACAGCGCAGUCGCAAGGACUCCGGUUUUACAAACUGUUGAAUCCAACGUCGACACAGCUACCUGUGCUUCUAGGGUUACCUCUAGGUGAUUCUGGACAAAGGGAGCCGCUGUAAGAACCUUCCUCGGUUCUUGAACUCACAGAAUUGGCAGGGAAAUUAAACGCUCGCCAUCUGUUCGACGUUCCCACCUGGUGCCUGCAACCUUCUUGCAGGCAGAUCCCGCCAGAGAUUGAGCAAAAUUGGGUCUGCAAAAGGCAACCGGUUCAAAUUUAUUAGCAAAACAAUGGCCGAAGGAACCCGUUUGAAGUUACUGGAUGAGCACGUUCAUGCUUUAGAACAGUAAAUGCAAGAGUUAGCAACGGGAAGCGAGAGAAAAUUUGAAUCACUUACCAGUCGGAUAGAGGCGAUACGUGUGGGGGGUCAAACCCAUUAUGAGGAUUGGAAGAGAGAAUCUGCAAAUACCUCAAAAAAGCUUGAACACAUUAUGGAGCUAUUGAUGAACAUACCACAAACUGCAUCCACCAGGGGAGCUACAUCCUCAAUCAGUGUAGAGGAGAGAGGUAUCUUACCAACUCCAUCUAUUUCUCAUUCAAAGGAAGACAACUAUAUACCAUCCACAAUACAUCGAACAGGGUCUCAAUUUCCGUAUCCAAAAUUAGACUUUCCUAUGUUCAUGGAUGACAACCCGAGGAGUUGGGUGAGAAAAUGUGAUUGAUACUUUGAAUUCUAUAGUAUUAAGGAACAUCAAAAGAUGGAGUUAGUAGCCAUGCACUUGAAUGAUAAGGCCGAUACCUGGUUACAAGGGUAUUUAGCAGAAAAAGGGGUGGUCAAUUGGGCCGAUUUUUCGGAAGAAGUUUGUAAACGAUUUGAUACUAAAGGAUUGGUGGACGUGGUGGAGGAAUUUAAUAAACUGGUGCAAACAGGAACAGUGGAGGAGUACCAAGAGCAGUUUGAGGAUUUAAGGGCACGGUUGCUUACUACUAAUUCACAAUUUUUCGGGGAUUAUUUCCUUUCCAGUUUCCUGAGUAGACUGAAGGAAGAGAUCAAAUCGGCCGUCAAGAUGUUAUAUCCACGAACAUUGACGCAAGCUUUCGAACAAGCCAAACUGCAAGAACAGACCAUAGCCGCUAUGAUGAAAAGGAAUAAGCAGAUGUUCAGAUUACAAGGGAUCACCAAUUCUCCAAGCCACUACAAGGGAAUAGGUUCGGCAACAUCUGGAAGAUAUUCCGACACCACCAGGAACCAACCCAAGCUUGUAGCAGAGAAGGCAUUCCCUAAUCGGCAAUUAAUCGAGCAGAGGCGAGCAGCGGGACUCUGUUUCAAAUGUGGGGAUAAGUACAGUCCGGGCCAUACAUGCAAGCAGCAAACCAUUAAUGCCAUACAAGCCCUCUCAGAGGUAACUGAAGUAUAUGAUGAGAUUAGUUUACAGGAAAUAGAAGGAGAAAAUGGAGUCGAAGUAGAGGAGGCAGAGGAAUUGGAAUUAUCAAUUCAUGCGUUGAGUGCCGAGGAUAGCCAAGAUACCAUAAAAAUACAAGGAGAGAAUAAGGGUAAGUCUUUAUCCAUUCUGGUCGACACCGGGAGUACUCAUAGUUUUAUUGACAUUGGGGUAGCUAAGGAGACUAAGGCAAACAUCACAACUACCACCCCACUCUUGGUAACAGUGGCUAAUGGCCAAAAGGUGUUGAGUAAGCUCAAAUGUACCAAUUAUGUAUGAGAGAUGCAGGGAGAAAAGUACCCGGCUGACCUGCGAGUGAUACGGCUGGAGGGGUCUAACAUGAUUUUAGGGAUUGAUUGGUUAAAGGCUCACGGCCCGGUCACGUUCGACUACGAGGUUAACACUGUCAUCAUUACAAAAGGAGAGAAGAAGAUCCAUCUCAAAGGAAUGGUUGACAAGGCUCAAUUACGAAGCAUUACAGCUAAACAAUUACAGCAGGAACCUCUGGUAGGCAGUUGCUGUGCAAUAGCACAGUGGAUCUCACCAGACACAGGCAAAGAAGAAAAAAUACCCGAGCCUAUCCAAGCUGUGCUACAAGAGUAUGGGGAUGUAUUCCAGGAACCACAAGGUUUAGCUCCGACUAGAAGCCGAGAUCACAAGAUUACUCUGCUACCAGACUCUCAGCCAGUCAACAUUCGGCCAUAUAGGUACACUUUUGAACAAAAGAACGAAAUGGAGAGACAAAUCAAGGAAAUGCUACAAACUGGGAUAAUCCAAACCAGCCAUAGUCCUUACGCAUCGCCCGUUCUUUUGGUUAAAAAGAAGGAUGGCACUUGGAGAUUUUGCGUCGACUAUAGGCAACUGAACAAGCUCACAGUGAAGGAUAAAUACCCGAUUCCCAUUAUUGAAGAUUUACUUGAUGAGUUAGGAGGGGCCAGAUAUUUCUCCAAGAUCGACUUAAGGUCAAGGUAUCAUCAAAUCCGCAUGCAUCCCAAUGACGUACCGAAAACAGCCUUUCGAACCCACAUCGGCCACUAUGAGUUUAGGGUCAUGCCUUUCGGACUUACUAACGCGCCGGCCACGUUCCAAGCAAUAAUGAAUGAAAUCUUUGAUCACUUCUUGAGAACGUUCGUAUUAGUGUUCUUCGAUGAUAUUCUGAUAUAUAGUAGAACACUGGAUGAGCAUGUGGAGCACCUGAAGAAGGUGUUAGGUUUACUGCGGAACCAUAGUUUAUGUGCUAAGAGGGUUAAAUGCUUCUUCGGGCAGAAACAAGUGGACUAUUUGGGCUUUGUUAUCACAGAAGAAGGAGUGUCGACAGAUCCAAGUAAAAUAGAAGCAAUGCUUCAGUGGCCGCUGCCCAGGUCCGUAAAGGAGUUGAGGGGAUUCUUAGGACUUACCGGCUACUACAGGAAAUUUGUUAGAGGUUAUGGAAUAAUAAGCAAGCCACUAACGGAGCUCCUAAAGAAGGAUAAUUUUAUUUGGAACGAAGAAGCCACCCUGGCAUUCCAGCGGUUAAAGGAAGCGAUGACGAAAGCCCUUGUACUGGCCAUGCCCGACUAUUCAAAGCCUUUUGAGAUAGAAGCAGAUGCCAGUGGCCAAGGAAUCGGGGCUGUGCUUAGUCAAUCAGGAAGACCUAUAGCUUAUAUGAGCCAAACAAUCAGCAAGAAGAAUCUGGGGCUCUCAACAUAUGAAAAAGAAUUCCUCGCUAUUUUAACGGCAGUUACGAAAUGGUGCCAUUACCUCAGUUUGAAGCCCUUCACUAUCAAGACUGACCACGAAAGCUUGAAAUUCUUAUUGGAGCAAAAGAUCAACACUGCUAUCCAACAAAAGGGCCUACUCAAGCUUAUGGGCUUAGAUUAUGUGAUUCAAUAUAGAAAAGGGAAAGAAAACCGCGCAGCAGACGCAUUAUCGAGAAAAGGAGUGGAAGAAGGAGUUAUGCAGGCAAUCACUGGAGCCAUUCCUGAGUGGGUCACAGAAGUAAUUAGAAGUUAUGAGGCAGAUGAUCACUGCAAGAAUCUGGCUGCCAGUCUCACGCUUCAGACCCCAGACAAGAGUCAUUAUACUUACAAACAGGGGCUAAUCAGGUACAAGGGAAGAUUGUAUAUUGGAGCAGACGAGAAAUUAAAGGAGAGGAUUUUAAAGAAGAUGCAUGAUUCUCCUUUGGGGGGUCAUUCAGGAAGACAGCACACAUAUAAAAGAGUGAAACAAGUGUUCUACUGGCCCAAGCUAAAGGAGGAUGUGAAGAAGUAUGUCGAGGAGUGUGAAAUCUGUCUCAAGAACAAAUCAGAUAAUUCUAUGUACACGGGACUUCUCCAACCACUACCAAUCCCCACACGAACGUGGAGUGAGAUCAGCAUGGACUUCAUCGAAGGAUUACCUAAGUCCGACGGUAAAGACUCUAUCCUAGUGAUAAUAGAUAGACUAUCUAAAUAUGGGCACUUCAUUGCUUUGACACACCCUUAUACAGCCAUAGAAGUGGCCAGGGCUUUCUUCGACAUCAUAUACCGUCUGCAUGGGUUAUCGAAAAUCAUAGUCUCAGAUAGGGACCGAGUUUUCACUAGCCAAAUAUGGCAAGAGUUAUUCCAUUUAUUGGGAACGAAAUUACACAUGAGUUCUGCCUACCACCCCCAGUCUGAUGGACAGACGGAGCGGUUAAACAGAUGCUUGGAAACGUACCUCCGUUGCCUGUGUUUUCAACACCCAAGGAAAUGGCAUCAAUGGUUAACACAUGCGGAGUGGUGGUACAACACCAAUUAUCACACAUCCUUGGGCACAUCUCCUUAUCAUGCCCUUUAUGGACAAUCACCACCCAACUAUUUGAUCGGUAAUCUCGCUAAAAGCACUGAAGGAGUGGUACAGGAUUGGGUAAAGGAAAGGGAGAAACUAACACUUGAACUCAGGGAACAUUUGCAAAAGGCUCAAAACCGCAUGAAGCAAUUUGCUGACCGGCGACGCACAGAUCGUGAGUUCAAGGUCGGAGAUUUGGUAUACCUAAAGCUACAACCAUAUCGACAACUCUCGGUGGCUGUCCGGAAAAACGUUAAGCUCUGUUCACGAUACUUCGGGCCCUAUGAGGUAACAGAGAGGGUGGGAGCUGUCGCUUAUAGGCUACGAUUACCUGAGGGAUCCAAAAGCCACCCCGUAUUCCAUGUGUCUCUACUCAAAAGAUGUCCUAAGAAGAACGUAUCAGUGACCCCUACAGUACCGCUAGUGGGGGAGGAAGGACAGUUGCUGGUGGAGCCGGAGAAAAUCUUGGAACGGAAGAUGGUUUGCGAAGGAAAUAGGGCGGCCACUAAGGUUCUGGUUAAAUGGACCAACUUGCCUGAGGAAUCUGCGACUUGGGAGGAUUAUCGGUUCCUAACUUCGCAGUUUCCGGCAUUUGAUCCUUGAGGACAAGGAUGCUGCAAGGGGAGGGGAUUGUUACGACCGUUGCAUCAGAAUAGAGGAGUAGGGUAAGUAGGCUGAGUAGAAAGGUGAGAACGAGAGGAUCUAUGGUGAAGAUGAACAGCGGCGGCGGAAUCUAUAGAAGAAAGGUUGUCGGGCAACGGGUUCGUGUUCCCUCACUGUAGCAUCACUGCGCCCGACUCCGGCUUCUGGAUCAGCUAACGGGUGACGGGUUGUCUCGGAAGCAGUAUGUAGUACUAACGGGUAACGGUUCUGCUUACCACUUGCCCCGACUUCGAAAGGCUAAGGAGAGAGGCGGUUGAAGCUGAGCCAGUGGAGGAGUCCAGCCCAAACCAGGAAUAGGCCCACUAUAGCCCACUGAGUGUAAUUACAAUUACAUAUUAGCCCUCGCCAUUGUAAUUCUUACACUUUGAUCCUCACGCUGAGGAGUAUAAGUAGCAACUCAUGCCUGUAACGAACUAUGAGAAGUUUGAAUAAGAUUCCCCAAUUUCCCCUAAUACUCUCUUCUCCUCCACUCUUCUCUCUUCUUCUUCUUCUUCUUCUUCUUCUUCUUCUUCUUCUUGCCCAUCUCUAUUCUCACCUCAGAUCUAUACUUGCUCCUCUAUCUCUUCUAUCUGAUACCGAAGGAUUUGGAUUCAGUCAAAUUCUGAAUCCCAUUAUCUCCUCUUCUUCGAUCCUCUGUGCGCAACGUCAUCGGAUCACAGAAUCGGAUCAGGUAAGCGACACAUCAUUCCAUUUCGCUUUCCUACGAUU
rnacentral:lncRNA from 1 species